UACGAAGGUACGAAAAACGAAGACGGACUAAGACUCAUCGGCUAACGGUCUUCGUCGUUCCCAUUACAUAACACUUUUGUUCUACAACAACACUUUUGCCUUUUUAUUUUUUUCACAUUUCUGGUACAGAAAAAAUGGACAGAAAGAAACUCUAUUAUACUAUUGUCAACUUCCGUCUUCAAUUACCACACCCUGCAGUCAGGUAAUUGACUUGAUACAUUCAAACAUUCUUGUCAAUGAAUCCAACGGUCAUGCGCAUAUUUUGUGCUUUAAAAUUGGAUCUACCAUACUUAGUGUAUGCUACAGCAAGAUAAUUUCGAGGAGAAAAAUAAUCGGCAAGAAUCGAGGACGAUUGAUCGACCAACUUAUACUAUAAAUAAUGACGGACUAAAUGCGAAAAAAUACAUAAAAAUAUUUCAAUAUUUAGAGCAUUUUAUAAAACUAAUAGUGUAUGAUUCACGUCCUUUUACGUUUUAAAAAUGUUCCAGUGAUAUAUCUUAUUUGAUGACCUACAA